rnacentral:lncRNA from 1 species
UUGACUGUACAUGCUCUUCCGUAGCAUACCAAGUUAUAGUUGAUCUAAUCAAAUGAAAUUGACGAGCUUACAUUUAUCACUGAUGCAGUAUUGUGAUACGAGUAUAUAUAUGACAUCACUUUUAAAUGCUACAAGUCUAGGACACCAAACGGGAAAGAGUUUAAGACGGCUGACUGUUUACAGGUUGCAGGCUUUCUGGAGGUAUCUCUGUAAUUCUCUAUGUUGUUGUCCCCUGCAAAAAGGGUUGGCAGAUCAAAACAAUUAAUUGAUUAAGUUAAUACAGCUAUCACAUAUAUCAGAAUUAACAUAGAUGUAUAAAAUCUGUGAAGUAUGUAUAUAUGAUAUUGGUUCUUGAAUUAAUAUUACUAGAACGAAGUUUCAGUUUCAGGAAUUAUUACCAUAGGACACAACCCCAUUGUUUAUGAGCUCCGUGCUCUCCUGCAGUCAGAACAUGGCUAUUUAUGCAGUCAGAACAUGGCUAUUUAGGUGUAAGUAACAUAGGAAAAAUUGUUGUUAGAGCUCAGAAGACCAGGGUAUAGGUUUACAAUAUCAAUCUUAUAAGCCUUACAUGUUAUUUACAAUAUCAAUCUUAUGGAAAAAAGAAGAUGAGCAAUUCCUUCAAUACAUCUGACUGUAUGUAUUAAUCAGCAAGAUGAAAAUACUGCUUCAUUUUUUACAUGCAUAUGUAUCUUUAUUUGUGGCUUGAUCAUACCCAUAUAUCUAAGAUUAUUAGAGGAAGUUGUAGACUUCUCCGUGGAACAAAAAUUAGCAACCUAAUUACUAUUGGUUGAGUGCUGCAGGAAGGGUUUGUAAAUCAUAUGCGCCAUGGACACAACAAAAAAAAGAAACAAAUGCAGUAGAUCUGCAGAGGAACAGAGCAGCUCAGAGCAACAGAGAAUUCAGGAGCAGAGAGCAAACCUUGAUCUACACGGUAUUUAUCCUUCUCGCACAGCUGCCGUCGUUCCGGCCAGAAUGGAUGGCCCCCAUCUGUGCGCCGUCACUCGCCUGUCG